UCUCAGCCUCCUGAGUAGCUAGGAUUACAGGCAUCAGCCAUCAGCACCCGGCCCUCAUGGGAUUCUUAUACUGAUGUCCUCAGCUCCUGAAACUCACGCGCGGCUGCUCGCUGCUCCCGGACGUGGGGAAGUGAAAA